GUGAACGUAGUUCAGUUGGUUAGAACAUCAGAUUGUGGCUCUGAGGGUCGGGGGUUCGAAUCCCCUCGUUCACCCCA
rnacentral:tRNA from 1 species